rnacentral:rRNA from 1 species
UACGGGGGGGGCAAGCGUUGUUCGGAAUUACUGGGCGUAAAGGGCUUGUAGGUGGCCAACUAAGUCAGACGUGAAAUCCCACGGCUUAACCGGGGAACUGCGUCUGAUACUGGAUGGCUUGAGUUUGGGAGAGGGAUGCGGAAUUCCAGGUGUAGCGGUGAAAUGCGUAGAUAUCUGGAGGAACACCGGUGGCGAAGGCGGCAUCCUGGACCAUGACUGACACUGAAAAGCGAAAGCCAGGGGAGCAAACGGG